rnacentral:lncRNA from 1 species
UCUGCUGAGACGCUGAGCCAGCUCUCAUCAUAUAGCAAGCAAAGGAGUUGCAGGUCUGGUAAGCCACGAUCACAAGGGUCUCAGGAAGCCCAAAGUGCUCUUGAACCAGCUCUGUACCUCAGAGUGGCCUGAAAUUUUCGAUCCUCCUGCCUCUGCCUCCCUGGAAUUACAGCUUCCCCUCCCUCUUCUCUUCCUGCCCCCCCCACCUCCCAUCUACACCCACACCCACCUCAUCCAUUCCUCCUCGGUUCAGAAAGGGGCAGAAGGCCAUACAUUUGAUGGUAUUUGUUAAAGCUCAGAAAUUCAGACAAAGAUAUGUAAAAUGU